CCAGUCCUACGGGGCGCAGCAGUGGGGAAUAUUGCACAAUGGGGGGAACCCUGAUGCAGCGACGCCGCGUGAGUGAAGAAGUCAUUCGUGAUGUAAAGCUCUAUCAGCAGGGAAGAAAAUGACGGUACCUGACUAAGAAGCCCCGGCUAACUACGUGCCAGCAGCCGCGGUAAUACGUAGGGGGCAAGCGUUAUCCGGAUUUACCGGGUGUAAAGGGAGCGUAGACGGCAGCGCAAGUCCGAAGUGAAAGCCCGGGGCCCAA
rnacentral:rRNA from 1 species